UACGAAGGGGGCUAGCGUUGCUCGGAAUCACUGGGCGUAAAGGGUGCGUAGGCGGGGUUUUAAGUCAGGGGUGAAAUCCUGGAGCUCAACUCCAGAACUGCCUUUGAUACUGAGGAUCUUGAGUUCGGGAGAGGUGAGUGGAACUGCGAGUGUAGAGGUGAAAUUCGUAGAUAUUCGCAAGAACACCAGUGGCGAAGGCGGCUCACUGGCCCGAUACUGACGCUGAGGCACGAAAGCGUGGGGAGCAAACAGG
rnacentral:rRNA from 1 species